GGUGAGUAAUGCCUAGGAAUCUGCCUGGUAGUGGGGGACAACGUUUCGAAAGGAACGCUAAUACCGCAUACGUCCUACGGGAGAAAGCAGGGGACCUUCGGGCCUUGCGCUAUCAGAUGAGCCUAGGUCGGAUUAGCUAGUUGGUGAGGUAAUGGCUCACCAAGGCGACGAUCCGUAACUGGUCUGAGAGGAUGAUCAGUCACACUGGAACUGAGACACGGUCCAGACUCCUACGGGAGGCAGCAGGU
rnacentral:rRNA from 1 species